CAGCGCCGCGGUAUUCAGCUCCAAUAGCGUAUAUUAAGUUGUUGCAGUUAAAAAGCUCGUAUUGAACCUUGGGCCUGGCUGGCCGGUCCGCCUCACCGCGUGUACUGGUCCGGCCGGGCCUUUCCUUCUGGGGAACCUCAUGCCCUUCACUGGGCGUGUUGGGGAACCAGACUUUUACUUUGAAAAAAUUAGAGUGUUCAAAGCAGGCCUUUGCUCGAAUACAUUACAUGGAAUAAUAGAAUAGGACGUGUGGUUCUAUUUUGUUGGUUUCUAGACCGCCGUAAUGAUUAAUAGGGAUAGUCGGGGGCAUCAGUAUUCAAUCGUCAAGGUGAAAUUCUUGGAUUGAUUGAAGACUAACUACUGCGAAAGCAUUUGCCAAGGAUGUUUUCAUUAAUCAGUGAACGAAAGUUAGGGGAUCGAAGACGAUCAGAUACCGUCGUAGUCUUAACCAUAAACUAUGCCGACUAGGAUCGGACGGUGUUAGUAUUUUGACCCGUUCGGCACCUUACGAGAAAUCAAAGUUUUUGGGUUCUGGGGGGAGUAUGGUCGCAAGGCUGAAACUUAAAGAAAUUGACGGAAGGGCACCACCAGGCGUGGAGCCUGCGGCUUAUUUGACUCACACGGGGAAACUCACCAGGUCCAGACACAAUAAGGAUUGACAGGAUUGAGACGCUCUUUCUUGAUUUGUGGGUGGUGGAUGCAUUGGCCCGUCUUUAGUUGGG
rnacentral:rRNA from 1 species